UACAGAGGGUGCAAGCGUUGUUCGGAAUCAUUGGGCGUAAAGGGCUCGUAGGCGGUUUGUCGCGUCGGGAGUGAAAUCCACUGGCUUAACUGGUGGCUUGCUUUCGAUACGGGCAGACUGGAGGUAUGCAGGGGAGAACGGAAUUCCUGGUGUAGCGGUGGAAUGCGCAGAUAUCAGGAGGAACACCGGUGGCGAAGGCGGGUCUCCGGCAGGUACUGACUGACUGAGGAGCGAAAGCGAUGGGAGCAACAGGGAUAAGAUGAUCCUAGUACGUACGUAGACCAAGUCCAUCUGCUACCUGAUCA
rnacentral:rRNA from 1 species